AGAGAGAGAGAGAGAGAGAGUGUCUCUAAACAUUGUUCAUAGGAAUAGCACCCAAACGAUUUCUUUUUAAUAAAUUUUUUUAAAAUUAUUUAUUCUCUUAGCAAGAUUGAGAUCUGAUUUACUCAAUACCCUUGAUGAUUUCACCAAAUAUUCCACCCUGUCAAGCAUCCUUUUCUUUCAAGUGAUUUUUUAUUUUAUGAAUUUUUAGACUCUUUGAAUUUUUAUCUUGCAUUUUAAUUUUUUUCAUUUUUUAUUUUUUAU
rnacentral:misc_RNA from 1 species